AGAGUUUGAUCCUGGCUCAGAACGAACGCUGGCGGCGUGCUUAACACAUGCAAGUCGAACGCGAAAGGGACUUCGGUCCUGAGUAAAGUGGCGCACGGGUGAGUAACGCGUGGAUAAUCUGCCCUUAUGAUUGGAAUAACAGUUGGAAACGGCUGCUAAUACCGGAUACGCUCAAAAUGAACUUUUUGAGGAAAGAUGGCCUCUGCUUGCAUGCUAUCGCAUAAGGAUGAGUCCGCGUCCCAUUAGCUUGUUGGCGGGGUAACGGCCCACCCAAGGCAACGAUGGGUACCCGAUUUGAGAGGAUGAUCGUCCACCACCUGGAACUGAAACACGGUCCAGACUCCUCCGGGAGGCAGCAGUGGGGAAUAUUGCGCAAUGGGCGGAAAGCCUGACGCAGCGUACGCCCGCGUGAGGGAUGAAGGUUUUCGCGAUCGUAAACCUCUKUCACAAUGGGAAGACAGKWGCGAUAUGCGCUCACAUCGACGUCACSGGUACCGUAGCAUCUGGUAUCGCUGUCAAGAGCGAAACCRCCGGCUAUUCUACAUCUGACCCCAAGGMAUCGMAGAGCUAU
rnacentral:rRNA from 1 species